rnacentral:rRNA from 1 species
GACUGUGCUGGCCGUUUGAAUAAGACAGCAUGUGCACGUCCCCUCGUCUUCGUUCGGUCUGUCGUAUACCCACACCUGUGCACCAAUUGUAGAUCUUUCAAUGUUAAUGUUGAUGGAAGUCCUUUAUCUCGUCCGACGAGUUAGCUUAGUUACUAGGCAGUCUUUCGAAAGAGAGGCUGGCGAAAGCAAAGCUAGAGGAUCAAAGUUGAUGUCGAUGUCGACGGGUAAAUCCCUGAUCUGAUCAAGCUUAGUUACUAGGCAGUCUUUGAAAAGAGGCUGGCGAAAGCAAGCAAGAAAGGACAGGAUAAAAGUCAAUGUCGAUGUCGAUGGUAAGUCCUUGAUCUCGUCAAGCUUAGUUACUAGGCAGUCCUUUCAAAAAGAGACUGGCGAAAGCAAGCAGGAAAAGAGGAGGAUGAAAGUUAAUGUUGAUGUAGAGGGGUAGAAUCAAAGUUAAUGUUAAUGGAAGUCCUUGAUGAGUUAGCUUAGUUACUAGGCAGUCUUUCGAAAGAGAGGCUGGCGAAAGCAAGCAAGCAGAGGAUGAAAGUUAAUGUUGAUGCUGAUGAUAUCAAUGGAUCUAUGUUUUCAUCAUCACACACUAUUGUAUGGCCAGAAUGUUUAUAAAUAAAAUACAACUUUCAGCAAUGGAUCUCUUGGUUCUCGCAUCGAUGAAGAACGCAGCGAAUUGCGAUAAGUAAUGUGAAUUGCAGAUUUCCAGUGAAUCAUCGAAUCUUUGAACGCAUCUUGCGCUCCUUGGUAUUCCGAGGAGCAUGCCUGUUUGAGUGUCAUUUAAUUAUCAACCAUCGUUCUUUAGGGAAUGAUGGCUUGGAGUUGGGGGUUGCUGGCGACGACCUGGUUGUCAGCUCUCCUUAAAAGCAUUAGCGAUCGAAGUCUUUCGACAUGCACGGCCAUUGACGUGAUAAUGAUCGUCGUGGCUGGAGUGUCUUUCCUAGACUAUGCUAGAUAGAUCGCUUCUAAUAGACAAGAUCCUUGAUCUUCAUCAAGCUUAGCUACUAGGCAGUCUUUGAAAAGAGGCUGGCGAACACAAGCUAUGGAAGUCAAUGUUGACGAAAUAUAAUGAC